UGGUCUUUGGAUAAUACCAAUGAAGGCAAAAGAUUCAAAGAGACAGUGUGAUGAAUGGGAGAAACAUGCAGUUUGAAAGUUGGAUUAAAUGUGGAGUCAGACUUGUGUGUAGGAUUUUACAAUUUCAGUGCAAUUUGUGAUAUUUAUAACGUGUCUGUGAAAAAGAAUGUGGUUACUUGUCUUGUGAGUGAAUGUGUUGAGAGGAAUGUGAUGAAUGUAUGAUAAUAUAUGCUCAUUCAUUUGUAAUAAAACUACACAUUUUGUGUUGUAAAAUUACACUUACUUCAGCUGAGUAUUAUCUUUUAAAAAAAUGUUUUUAAA
rnacentral:misc_RNA from 1 species